CCUCCUCUCCCUCUCUCCCACGCAUCUCACCCGCCGCCGCCCAAGCACCCCGCCGCCACCCUCUUCCCUUCUCGAUCUCGAUCCGCUGACGCGGCGUGAAUAUCCGUCGUCCUCGAGCUGGCUACUCCGCCACAUCCCCGCAGCGGCAGAGGAGGAGUCAGGGGUGGAGCUCCCAUUCGGCGGCAGCCGCAGCCAUCCCUCAACGCGCCCCGAAACCCUAAGCCCGCGGCAUGGCGACCGAGCUCAAUACCCCUCUCCAUCCUGCACACGGUAUGGAUCCCUCCUCCCCUUUUGUUCCUUCUUCUCGUUUUCUUCAUCACCUUCCGCAUCUGACGGGGGCUCGCCGUGUGCAGUCUAGUUUUGGGGCCAUGGAGGAGCAGCUGCUCCCAUCGGAUCUGGGGAAGGAGGACGCUCACCACCACCACGCUGCUCAACCUCACCGCCAUGAUUAUGUUGCCAAGGUGACCUCUUUCUCCCCCUCUUCCUCUGUUCGUCUCGAUUCUUGGCUCCCUUCCCUCCCUGAUGCGGUUGGUUUCCUCACACGAGCAGACCACCAUAUGGUGGAGUCCUCUUCCACUCCGACGACUCCCACUGGUGGCCUCGGUUCUGCUUCCUCCCUGACAUUAGGCGGUAAGCCACUACUCUCUCUCUCUCUCUCUGCUUUGUGUCCACGGCCAGAGAGCCACGGUGAAAUUUUGUGCAGGCCAUCGAGCCAUAGGGUUUCGAGUUGUUUCAAGCCAAUUAAAACAUUCAUCCUGAGAUUGCGGGUGUGUAGUGUUCCCCUUGCCGGUGUGAUUGCCGACGUGGCCUGAAUAGCUUCGUCAGCAAGAAGAAAACUGAGAGAGAAGAGACUGAGUGGAAAGUUCAUAAAUGUUCAGUCAUUUUCAGUCUGCUCCCUUCACAAUGUUCAGUCAUUUUCAGUACUUUGCACAAAUGUUCUGGCCUGGCAAAUGAUUUUUGAUGUGCAAAAGGGUAGUUGCUUUUUGGCAUGGUCUUGGCGUAAAUAUUGAUCGUCAUACCUAGGAACAGAAAAAAAAGUUUUUCACAUUUUUUUUCUGCUGAAUCAUUAGCUCAUCAAGUUGUUUGCCCGUCACUCGCCUCUCUUGCUGUUUCAGCAUGAGGCACAAUCUGAAGUACUGAAAAUUAGUAAAUCAUGCGCAUUUAGUUUUAGCACUGAGUCUCAGAUCAUGCGUACAAAGUACUACUACUACUACUACUACUAGAACUAAUGGCGCUGGAGGUGUCUUGAUGCAUAUGUUGAACAUUUGGAAGAUUGCUUCGGAUAUCUAAAAAUCUAUAUUUCUUUCCAGCGCAAAAUCUAUCAAGUUCAUGUACUCAAUUACAACUGUCAUGUCGUGACUGUGGUGUCUGGACUUCUUGCACAAGCGCAGCCUCUAACCUAGUGAGCUCCUUUCCCCAAUUAGUUUUACUAGUCGUCAACCCGUGCAUCUGCACGGGCUAGCACUUGCAGUAUUUUUCGCAAGAGAGAGUUUGUAUGAAUUAUAAAAAAAACUCAUAUUGUUUUAGUAUUUGUCUUUAGAUAUGCAAAUAAAUUGUUUACCUUUAUUAGACAUAGACAGGAGGAGUCACAUACCUUCCUCCAAUUUGUAAUUAGAUCAUAUGUUCGUUACCUCUAAUACUCAACUGUGUCACAAUGUAUGCAUAUUUCGUUGUGUCAUAGGAUAGUACACCCUUAGAUUUAGACCGGAUUUGAAAAUAUGAGCAUGUGAUAUUACGGUCAGAUAAUUAGUGCAUCCAUGGAGAAAAAUAGUUGCAAAUGAAAAACUCAAUACAUGAUUCCUUUACUAAUUUUUGGAAGUCUAUAGAAGCCCCCAAAAUGAAAUGUGUUGGUGUCGCAUAUGUCGUACUUCUCCGGAUAACAAAACGAUUGAGCCUGAUUGAGUUAAUUUGAUCUUAAAAUAUGCAAAAUACACUGAUAAAACAUUUUACGGAUUAAUAUUGACAUAUACAACAUGCAUAAGUAGAAGUGCACUACAUGGAACAACAAUAAUAAUCCAGUUCCGUUUGAUUAAAAAUGAUGUUGAAAAUAGUGGAUCCCUGCACGGUGUUCUAGCGUUUCAUAUUCUCUCGGCCCAUUACAUUUUGCGAGGUUUAUUUUACUACCAUUUUUAGUGAUAGUGGAAACAUUUAACUGCAGUUUACAUGCUUCUCUAAACGUCUAGAUUUAUGCUUUCAACAUUGACGGGGAUAUUUUUUAUCAUUUUUUAAAGCAGUUGUACUUUGGAUACACGCUGAGUUUGCCGCAGUAAGUAUUCCUAUUUAUUGGUAUUUUUAAUAGUUAGUUUCACGUAUUUAUAAGGCCACAAAAAGGAUAUAAUCAUGCUUUAGAUACCGGUAAUUAUCAGCAACCCCACACUUGCAAACAAUCAGGAAUUCCUACUCAGGGAGUAUCAUGCAAAAUACUCCCUUUGUUUCUAAAUAUAAGUCCUUUGAGAGUUUUAAAUAGAAACUACAUAUGGAUGUAUAUAGACGUAUUUUAGAGUGUAGAUUAUCUUAUUUUGCUCCGUAUGUAGUUUAUAUUAGAAUCUCUAAAAAGACUUAUAUUUAGGAAUGGAGAUAGUAGGAGAGACCGUACCUCCCAAAACUACAGUGCAUGCAAGAGAAUUAAAAAAUUGUCUAAUACUUUGCAUGAACCAAACCUGCAUGAUGAUCUGUUUGCAUCUGGGACAUCGUAUGUAUUGUGCCAUGUAAGGUGUACCUCUGUGUCUAGUCUGAAGCCGGUAUUCCAGACAGCAUGGAGAAGACCAAUGAGUUCGAUGCCUUGGUGCAGCAGGAAAGGCCAAGCGACUGAAUCUUCAAAGGGAAGACGUGGAAGGCAUGGUAAAAUCUGUACGUGAUAGACAACAUGCAUGGACUCUCUAUGUAUUUGAUCCAACGCUUGUAAACAGAAAAUACAGAGAUUGAAUGGAUGGUUUGCUCUGUUUAGGAGACAUGAAGGGUACGUGAUGUACUGGGCCUACAACAUGCGUGACUUGUAUUCACCUGGACUCUUCUUUUAAAUUAGAUGGACUCUUCUUUCAUCAUUUUUUUGAACCGGCUCUGCUCUAAUCUUUUAUUUACGGGGGCUCUUCUCUAAUCUUGAUCAGAGAGGACGGAGAGAAUCACGUGAGAUUGGGAGAGAGACAGAGCGCAUGUUCCAAUCUUUUUCUUUUUUUUCGUUUGGGAAUUUUUUUAUUGACGUGGGAAUUUAGGAUUGAUCUACACCGUAAUAACUUGGCCCCACCAAAUUAACGACUCCUAAUUUCUAAUUAACGUGUGAAUUUCUAGGGAGUCUGUAAUUAGUAUAGGUAUAUAUUUUGUUCUUACUCCGUUUUACUGUAUUGAUAAUACAUAAGAAGACGUGGCGAUUAGUGGUCAAUGCUUAAUUUUGCAUCUUUCCCUUCAACAGUUCUGGAUAUAGCAUCAUCUGCUAUUAUUGUCAUUCUUCCACCAACAAAUUACUUGACCGUCAGUUUUGCUCUGUGAAUGAAAUACACGGGCAAACAUUUCUGUCAUUUCUUCCUGAUCAUUAGUUCUUGUAACUUGAUGAUCUAAACCUGGUGCCUUUUUUCAUAAACCAGGCAUUUGGGCGCCAGAGAGAUGGUGGCUGGAGAUAUUUGAUUAACCGAUUCAGGCAUCUGCGAAUGCUUCUGGUUUCAUAUAGCCCUUGAUGAUUUGGACGGGACCCAGGGAGCCGAAGUUUGCUCUGGUAACCGAUACAAUCAAGGUAAAUAUGAACUCAAAAGAUUCAGUAGCUUUGAAACACCUACGUGAUCCUAAUUCAGGAUGGAAUUUUUGCAUGCCUGAAGAUUCUAAAGGCUUGGUCAGUAAGGAAGAGGACAGUGGCGACUCUCAUGGUAAGCUGGCAGGCAACGACUCUCGUGGUUACACCCCCGGGGAUGGUGUGCCCAGUGACCUCAUUUUUCCAUGGUUGCUCAUUUUGCUUCGUUACUAAGCAGACUUCAAGGUUGCAAAUCUUGAAUGCUGUUUAUGUUAUUUCUUUGUGUGUUCUUACUCUUAGGCAUGCACUAGCUUAGCAUUUAUGUUAUUGAUAGACUAGCAGCAACAUUGUGUGUUCUCCUUGCUGGUGUGAUCGCCGACGUGAGAGCUGGCCUGAAUAGCUUCGCCAGCAAGAAGAAAACCGAGAGAGAAGAGAGAGUGAGAGUGGAAAGUUCAGAAAUGUUCGGACGUUUUCAGUCUGCUCCAUUUACGAUGUUCAGUCAUUUACAAUAGCUUGCACAAUGUUCUGGUCUGGCAAAUGUUUUUAGAUGUGCAAAAGGGUGGCAGGUUUUUAGGCAUUUUCUUGGCGUAAAUAUUGAUCGUCAAACAGUUCUGUAUGUAGAAUCAUAUGCUAUUAAUGCCAUUCUACCACCAACAAAUUACUCACCUGACAUUUUUGCUCUGUGAAUGAAAUAAAAACGCAUCACUUACGAUUUAUUGCCUGCAAUUCCGAUUUCUGUUCUAGGCUUGGUUGAGUUCUGCUUUAUUUUCUAAGAAAUUAUGUGUUGGAUUUGGCACGGAGCUACUGCAUCGUUUUGUUUUGGCACUUGGUUCUUCGUCAAUGCUGAGCUAUUGUAAGUGAAUCUAUUUAUUUGUGCCUUACAAGUGCUCAACUGAUUGAUGGUAACGCUAUGCUACGUAAUUUGCUCUUCAUGAACGGUUAGCCCUAUUUUGAUAAACAUCGUUAUCACACAUUUUAGUUGCAUCAUAAUAAUCUUCUUCUUCUAACUUUCUUCUUUCCCAUUUUAUAGAUUUGCUUAAGAUCACGGAAGCUUGGGUUGAUGGAGUGCUUGUAUUUAGUUUUUGUUUUGACCUUGUGAAACUUGCUACCUAUGGAUGAAACUGUGUAAUAUUGAUGAAACUAUGUAUAUGUACGGAUGAAACUUGCUACUAUUGGUAACAUGUAUUGGAUAUAUGUGUUCAUGACUAUUGGUAAUUUGUGUUGAAUAUGCU
rnacentral:lncRNA from 1 species